CCUACGGGUGGCAGCAGUGGGGAAUAUUGCACAAUGGGGGAAACCCUGUUCCAGCAACGCCGCGUGGAGGAAGAAGGUUUUCGGAUUGUAAACUUCUUUUGUCAGGGAAGAAAAUGACGGUACCUAACGACUAAGCCCCGGCUAACUACGUGCCGGCAGCCGCGGUAAUACGUAGGGGGCAAGCGUUAUUCGGAUUUACUGGUGGUAAAGGGUGCGUAGGCGGUAUAGGAAGUCAGAGGUGAAAACCCAUGUCUCAACCCUAGGACUGCAUUUGAAACUGUGAUACUAGAGUACAGGAGGGGUAGGCGGAAUGCCUGGUGUAGCGGUGAAAUGCGUAGAUAUCAGGAGGAAUACCAGCGGCGAAGGCGGCCUGCUGGACCGUAACUGACGUUGAGGCGCGAAAGCGUGGGGAGCAAACAGGAUUAGAUACCCCGGUAGUC
rnacentral:rRNA from 1 species